UUAAAUUGAAGAGUUUGAUCAUGGCUCAGAUUGAACGCUGGCGGCAGGCCUAACACAUGCAAGUCGAACGGUAACAGGAAA
rnacentral:rRNA from 8 species